UACGUAGGGGGCAAGCGUUGUCCGGAUUUAUUGGGCGUAAGGAGCGUGUAGGCGGCUUGACAAGUCUGCUGUGAAAACUCGAGGCUCAACCUCGAGCGGUCGGCGGAAAUUGUUUGGCUAGAGUCCGGAAGAGGAGAGUGGAGUUCCUGGUGUAGCGGUGAAAUGCGCAGAUAUCAGGAAGAACACCUAUGGCGAAGGCAGCUCUCUGGGACGGUACUGACGCUGAGACGCGAAAGCGUGGGGAGCGAACAGG
rnacentral:rRNA from 1 species